AUUGAACGCUGGCGGCAUGCCUUACACAUGCAAGUCGAACGGCAGCACGGGAGCAAUCCUGGUGGCGAGUGGCGAACGGGUGAGUAAUAUAUCGGAACGUGCCCAGUAGUGGGGGAUAACUGCUCGAAAGAGCAGCUAAUACCGCAUACGACCUGAGGGUGAAAGGGGGGGAUCGCAAGACCUCUCGCUAUUGGAGCGGCCGAUAUCAGAUUAGCUAGUUGGUGGGGUAAAGGCCUACCAAGGCAACGAUCUGUAGUUGGACUGAGAGGACGAACAAGCACACGUGGACUGAGGCACGGCCCAGAAUCCUAAGGGGGGCAGCAGGGGGGAAUUUUUGACAAAGGGCGGAAGGCUGAAUCAGAAUUGCGGGUGGAAGGAGAAGGCCCUCGGGUUGUAAACUGGUUUUGGUCGGGGAAAAAACCUCUUAGUUUAUACCCCUGGGGGGAUGACGGUACCUGAAGAAUAAGCACCGGCUAACUACGUGCCAGCCGCCGCGGUAAUAC
rnacentral:rRNA from 1 species